rnacentral:sRNA from 12 species
UAUUUGCAAAAGCGAUUGUAGUGGAAAUCCUUUUUCAUCAGAAAAAGAUUGCAACAGAAAGCGCGGACCGAA